CAGGUACUCCCUCCGUUCCGAAUUAUUUGUCUUAGAUUUGUCUAGAUACGGAGGUAUAUAUCUAGCACUAAAAUGAGUCUAGAUACAUCCGUAUCUAGACAAAUCCAAGACAAGUAAUUCGGAACGGAGGGAGUAUUAA
rfam:Triticum urartu cultivar G1812 contig852145, whole genome shotgun sequence.